AAAAAGGUAAGCUAAAAUCAAGCUAUUAGGUUCAUACCCUAAAUAUAGAUCUAUAUCUCCUUUUUA
rnacentral:tRNA from 1 species